rnacentral:rRNA from 1 species
CGGAUCGGAGUCUGNAACCCGACUCCGUGAAGCUGGAUUCGCUGGUAAUCGCGCAUCAGCCAUGGCGCGGUGAAUACGUUCCCGGGCCUUGUACACACCGCCCGUCAAGCCAUGGAAGCCGGGGGCGCUUGAAGUGCGUUGCCGCAAGGCGCGCCCUAGAGCGAAACCGGUGACUGGGGCUAAGUCGUAACAAGGUAAC